AUUUUAGUUGCCAGCAUUUAGUUGGGCACUCUAAAGUGACUGCCGGUGCAAGCCGGAGGAAGGUGGGGAUGACGUCAAAUCAUCAUGCCCCUUAUGACCUGGGCUACACACGUGCUACAAUGGAUAGUACAAAGGGUCGCGAAGCCGCGAGGUGGAGCUAAUCCCAUAAAACUAUUCUCAGUUCGGAUUGUAGGCUGCAACUCGCCUACAUGAAGCCGGAAUCGCUAGUAAUCGUGGAUCAGCAUGCCACGGUGAAUACGUUCCCGGGCCUUGUACACACCGCCCGUCACACCACGAGAGUUUGUAACACCCGAAGUCGGUAGGGUAACCUUUAUGGAGCCAGCCGCCGAAGGUGGGACAGAUAAUUGGGGUGAAGUCGUAACAAGGUAGCCGUAUCGGAAGGUGCGGCUGGAUCACCUCCUUU
rnacentral:rRNA from 1 species